rnacentral:sRNA from 1 species
AUACCACAUAAAUGCCUUUUGCGCACUG